UAGCGGUGAAAUGCGUAGAGAUCAGAAGGAACACCAAUGGCGAAGGCAACAUUCAGGACCGAUACUGACAAUGAGGGACGAAAGCGUGGGGAUCAAACAGGAUUAGAUACCCUGGUAGUCCACGCUGUAAACGAUGAGUACUAUCUGUUGGAGUCGGUGUAAAGUAUCUAGUGGCGCAGCUAACGCGAUAAGUACUCCGCCUGGGGACUACGGCCGCAAGGCUAAAACUCAAAUG
rnacentral:rRNA from 1 species